UAUAUUUCACAACUGCAAAGUAAUGUAUGUGAGGCAAUGAGGCACCUUUUAAACCAUCUGAGACUGUGAGCCAGCACUUCAUCUAUGUGUGUAUAUACGCCACGCUGAGUGAUCCCGGUCCAUGGGGCAUGUUAUUUAUGGACGGGCUGAAAGGGAUACAUGUGUGAUUGAGAUGAGGUAUUUUUUCCACAAGUUACUGCGUUGGUUAAAAAGCUGGUAUACUUAGAUACCAUGUCUCUGCUGGUGUUUGUCCCGCCCCUUACCGUCCUCAUAGGCAGACAAAGCUGUCACUCUUAAAAAGAUUAUCACACAUCAGGAUUAAUUCAUGAAGCACGUUGUGGGGUCAUUAACCCAUUAAGGUCAAAUUAGGUGGGUCCUAGUUUCAUUAUUGAAAAAGACAAAUGAUCUUGAUCCAUAUUUAAUGGCUGGUAGGCUGCAUGCAUUUAAGGGUUUGAAAAAAAUCACAAAAAAAUCACAUUUCUUUAAGAAUAUAUAUUAAUUGAUAAAUUACUAAUUGGUCCACUUUAGGAGGUGAUGUCAUUCCUCCUCCCCUAUAUAAGUUAGGCCUUGUUCCUCAUGCUUCAUUGCAUGGAGGUUUGGACAAUCACUGACUUGCUGUUGGAAGGUUCCAAAAUCCAUUUAUUCAUACUAGGAUCUCUCGUAUGCAUAAGCUCCAUUGUUUGAGCUGACCUUUGAGGUUCUUUUGGGUUGGAAUUAGCCGACUUCAUUAUCAUCUUGAACCUCCUCUAUUGAUGGUUAGAAUUUGUGUAAUAGACUCUAGAGGUUGGAGUGACAUUACCACAAUGGUGGUUAUCGAAUUUUCCUUAUGAAUAUCCUUGAUUGUCUGGGUCCAUCAAAAUAGUUAUUUUUUGUCAUUAUUUAUCAAAAAUCAGAGGGUUUUUAAAUAGGAUUUACAUCUUUCACAGACCCAUAGAUAUUGGGAAUAGAGGUCCAGUGGAUCUAUAAAACUGUGCGAAUAAUUUGAAUUCUAAAUGGUGUGGUGAGCCUGACCAUUUCACAGAUUGUCAGUAUCUGAAUUGAUUGUAUAGCUUCUUUGACCAUCCCUCUGAAGAAGUCCUAUGUGGACGAAACGCGUCAGAGUUGAAGAGACUUAUACUACCCUUCAUUUCAUUUAUUGCACAAAUUUUAACUGUGUAUAUGAAAGGGUUAUCUCUGUUUGUGUAAAUGUGCUUUUAAUAAAUUGUUUUUUAUGAUCA